UGCCCGAUGGUGUAACGGUAGCACAACUGAUUCCGGUUCAGUUUGUCUAGGUUCGAAUCCUGGUCGGGCAGCCA
rnacentral:tRNA from 1 species